rnacentral:rRNA from 1 species
GUGUCAGCAGCCGCGGUAAUACAGAGGCCUCGAGCGUUAGGCGGAAUCACUGGGCUUAAAGCGUGUGUAGGUGGAUGCCUAAGUACCUUGUGAAAUCCCAUGGCUUAACCAUGGAAUUGCUUGGUAUACUGGGUGUCUUGAGCCACUCAGGGGCGAGCGGAACAAACGGUGGAGCGGUGAAAUGCGUAGAUAUCGUUUGGAACGCCAAUGGUGAAAACAGCUCGCUGGGGGUGCGCUGACACUGAGACACGAAAGCCAGGGGAGCAAACGGGAUUAGAAACCCCUGUAGUCC